rnacentral:rRNA from 1 species
AUACGUAGGGGGCGAGCGUUGUCCGGAAUGAUUGGGCGUAAAGGGCGCGUAGGCGGCGCGGUAAGUCUGGAGUGAAAGUCCUGCUUUCAAGGUGGGAAUUGCUUUGGAUACUGCCGCGCUUGAGUGCAGGAGAGGUUAUCGGAAUUCCCGGUGUAGCGGUGAAAUGCGUAGAGAUCGGGAGGAACACCAGUGGCGAAGGCGGGUAACUGGACUGCAACUGACGCUGAGGCGCGAAAGUGUGGGGAGCAAACAGGAUUAGAUACCCUGGUAGUCCACACUGUAAACGAUGAAUGCUAGGUGUAAGAGGUAUCGACCCCUUUUGUGCCGGAGUCAACACAAUAAGCAUUCCGCCUGGGGAGUACGGCCGCAAGGUUGAAACUUAAAGGAAUUGACGGG